rnacentral:lncRNA from 1 species
CAAUGAUUGAAACACUGAAGAGAUACGUUUAUGGUCCGUGCUAUCCGGGAUCCUUGGGACAUCGCUACCCCAUUGACAUUUAAAAUGGUUAAGUGGAGCGAUGAUCAACUGCAUGCGUUUUAUGAAAAUGAAGUGUAAGAGAAUGUGGACCUCCCAAUUUUUGCAAAACGGCUUUAAGAUGUCACAGAGAUGAGAGAAGUUGACAAGGAAUUGUCCAGCUGCGCGUGCAAGGUCCAUGGUGAAGAGAGAAACAGCUGAGAGCACAAAGCCCCCUGGACAUGCUAUGACCACAAUUGUAUGCCCUUUCUAUUAUAUUUUUGUGGUUUUCAUAUAGGCUACUACUGACAUUGUUUCAAAAUUAUUUGGGAUGUUUUUGUUUACCUAUAGUGUUCCAUAAAAUAUGUCCAUAAUAAUGUUUGCUAUUUUAGUGAGUUUUCAUAAGUUGAACUGA